GCCCGGCUGGCACAAUUGGUUAGCGCGUGGGCCUUUUAUAUCUACUAUGAAAGAUAAGCCCAAGGUUGAGAGUUCGAGCCUCUCGUCGGGCG